GAGGGGCUGUCCCGGUGAGGGGGUAACAGGGACCACCCGGGACGGGCCCGGGCGGCGAGGGCUGCAGGGGAGCGAGAGGGAAGGACGGCCAGGCAGAGGAAAAGGAAAGCGGGUGGGGAAUGAUCAGGCAGUGUUUUAUAUGUGCUUAAAAUAAUGAGGUUAUUCACAACACUCUGCUGUUUUGUGUCCAGGUGCAGUGUCCUCCCUCAGCAGAGCAAUUCGUGAUGGAGAUGGCCGGAGGCACCUGCAAAGUACCGUAUUCCUCUUCCAUUCAAAAUUGCCAGCUGGCAAAACGGCGGAAUUCGACACUGCUAUUAAAUGGAUUUAUUUGGGAAUUAGGUAUUUCAGAGAUGUUAACUGCUUAUGCAGUAGUGAUCUCCAUUGAUCUUCCACCAAGUUAGCCCAAAAGGAGCAGGAACAAUUUUGGGAGAGACUGCAAACAACUUCAGUCGUACCCCAAGCGGGGUGUUAAUGCAGCCUGAAGCUUUGUGUUGGACACUUGGGAGCCCAGCUGAAGCCAUCGGCAGAUGAUUUGGAGGAAGGCGUAGAAGACCCAUAGGACAGCAAGAACUGAAGUUCAAAAUCUACCUUUCCUGUAAUAUUCUGUAAUGUUUACAGGUUUUUUAAUCACAGGCCUUUCAGGCCUGAUUCUUUUUAAAGAAAGAUUAUGUUUGUGUGCCAUCAUUAUGAGAGGAGUUUAAAACAAGGUAGUUACCAUUUUGCAAUUCCCUGGUAAAGACAGGGGAAAUUCCACAGGACCACACGGAGACCAAAUACUCAGUGCAGUAUUGCCAUCUGUUGGUAACUCCUUAGCAAAGCUGCAGAACUGCUACAAAGCUCUGGGCGAUGAACUGCCACACUGAGUUGCUGUAGUAUAUUACUAUUUCAUGCUUCCGAGAGGCUGCGGUUCCUUGGCAAGGCAUUUGCCCUGUACUGCUGCAUUGCUGGGGAACUCGCUGGACAGCACAGCGGGCCUCUGGCUCCCAGCUCUGGACCAAAUUGUUCAGACUCUCUUCCACAUCUGAAGCUACUACCCAGGGCAAAGUCUGGGAAGACCAGGCAGGUCUGUAGCAGGAAUUUUUAAGAAUCCACCCAGCCCUCUGAACAGGAAAGAGAAGGGAGUGGAAAAUUUCUCUGCAUGAGUUUUAAAACCUCUAAAACCUGCAACAGAUAAAAAGCGUAUUAAAGACACAGUUCUGCUUUCUAGCCAAGAAGUGUUUGCACAUCAUGAAUCUAAUCAACAGCAAUACUUUUUAGUACAGAAGAUACGGUGCAAGACCUGGAAACAGGAGUGUGGAGUUCCAGUUCCAGUGGCUCAUUAGGAAACCCUCACAGAACCAUGAAGAGGUUCACUUUUUCAGCACUGCCAAGCUGAGAUGCUCUGCAGCAAGUUUCAGGAGUGCCAAGCAUCUGGACGGUGGAUUCAACAUCUGGUACCUCUGCAGAAGAUCCAUCAAUAUCCAUGUUUCCUAAACAUAAACGUUCCAAAAUUUUGUUUUAUCUAAUGAACCAAAAGACCUUAUGAGGGCUAUAUGAACUUACUACAGCCAAACAAUUACUACAUGCAAAAAUUAAUGCCAAUAGGGAAGCAAUAAAACAUAGAAAGAAUUAGAAGUGGGAGCCUUAAACAAAGUAAUCACCACCUGCGAUUGCUGUCCUGACCAUCAAGAAAGACUUAAACAUAUUCUGAAGAUACAAGCCCAGGAACAAAAAUGACAGGGCAGAAAAAACAUGGAUAUAAUGGAGACACUGAUUUUACAAUACACUGAUAUUUUCCACACACAUGCUACCUCAUGACCCAAAGGAAAUGGGUAACUGCUGUUCUCUCUUCUGUAUAAGACCCCUAUUAUAUCUCCCCUUGCAAGUUUCUUCCACCGUUGCAGAUGCCAGGUACCCUUCUUCUACCUUCAAACUGUUUAACUGAUUUACCUAGUGAAAUUAAAUUCAGAGUAAUUUCUUCCUCUCUAACCAUAGCAUGAAGUCUCCUCUGUGUCAGAUCUGAAAAGUCUGUAUCUACCACAGUCUGAGUAAAAAGAUUAUCUCUCCUUGAGAGCUAUUCCUUUCUUAAAAAAUAAGGGCACUUAAAUUUAUUAGAAAUACUUAAAAAUGUAGGUAUGGACAAUCAGUUCAAAUAUUUCAGGAUUAGUACAUUGAUACAGUCAGUCCUGACCUCAGAUUGCUAUGUGCUUUUUUCCUGAAGCCCUCUCCAAUCUCAGAAAAAGUACAUUUCUUUGCUGAUCUGAGUGACCCCUAUUCCACCCAAUUCACUGUAGUGAGUGUGCAUUCAGGUUUCUCCCACUGCUAAAACCAAAAGCUGAUGGCUGUGAAGCACUCUGCAAAUCUGGUUCAUUUUUUGUAUUUGAAAUCUGGGAUUGGAUUUGAAAGAUGGUCCCAUUUCUUAUUAUCAGUCCUCAGAGGAAUCCAUUCCACUACUUCCUCUGCAGCCACUCAAGUAUUUUGUUUCAUUAGUGGAAAAUGAAAGAAGGAUUCAAGCCUGUACUUUUGUUUGCUUUCAUACAAUAAA